rnacentral:rRNA from 1 species
UACGGAGGAUGCGAGCGUUAUCCGGAUUUAUUGGGUUUAAAGGGUGCGUAGGCGGGAUGCCAAGUCAGCGGUCAAAUACGGGGGCUCAACCUGCGUCCGCCGUUGAAACUGGCGUUCUUGAGUGGGCGAGAAGUAUGCGGAAUGCGCGGUGUAGCGGUGAAAUGCAUAGAUAUCACGCAGAACUCCGAUUGCGAAGGCAGCAUACCGGCGCCCGACUGACGCUGAGGCACGAAAGUGCGGGUAUCGAACAGG